UUUCUUCUUCUUUCUCGUGACUUGCCUGAGUAAAGAUGUAAGUUCAGUGAAAAUCACUAACAUCUUCAAGAACUACACCGACGAAGCAAACAACAGUCAGAGAGAGAUGGUCAGUAUUCAUUGUGAUUCUCCUUCAUCCUCUCGUUCUUAGUCCUAACAACAUUCUAAACCCUAAAUAAAUUUGUUGCCAUCCCCAAAUUUUGACUCGGAGUGGCUAACAGCAAUUAUGUUGUGGCUGAGAUCUGCAGUGAACAAAAUCUUGCUCGUGCCUCAACGCUUUUACUGCUUCCGCGUUUUCAUUCUCAUCUCUUUUCAACUUCAGAUCUAUUUCUUCAUCGGUAUGUCCUUUCUUUCUCUUCAUUUUCCGAUUCAUUCCUCACUCGCAAUUGCUCUUGAUUUUCGAAUCAUUCUCUUUUUUUUAUCAUAGAUAUUCAAAUUGUUACUAGAUCCGUAUUUGGUUAUGUAUUUUUUUUUUUUUGAAUUGGAGGCUUAGGUCUAACCGUUGAUUCAAUAUCUAUUUUUAUUCACUGUACUGUCUUCAAUUCUUAGCCGCAUUGAUCCCUCUGUGUUUGUUUAAUUUUGGAUUAUUGCUAACUAACUAGUUUUUUUAGUUGAUUCAAUAUCUAUUUUUAUUCACUGUACUGUCUUCAAUUCUUAGCCGCAUUGAUCCCUCUGUGUUUGUUUAAUUUUGGAUUAUUGCUAACUAACUAGUUUUUUUAGUGUAUUAACUCUUUGAUUUUAUCUCUAGGUUUGAUUGCUAAUGUUAAGUUCUUUUCUGGCUGUGAUUAAUAUAUUCGUGAAUUUUUCAAUCUAGUUUCGAUUGAUACCAAUC
rnacentral:lncRNA from 1 species